GUUUGGGAGUCGACUGGUUACAUUCAGAGAGAACUUUUUUUAACUUGGCAGAAAUAUUUUGUUCAUUGCGUGUCUGCAGGGAGACAUUUGGAAUUUCUCACCUGUAAUAGUUAAUACCUGGGUUAAACAGACAGAUGUUUUCCAUUCACCUCACUCUCUAGGUUGGCUUAAAUAUACGUCAAGUCCAGUGGCUUUUGUCAUUUCAAUCAUAUACAACUGGUCCAGUGCACAGUGAAACGAAACAACGUUCCUCCAGAGAGAGAGAGAGAGAGAGAGAGAACGAGAGACAUCUCCCUCUAGAUCGGUUUCCAGUGUGUGGUCUGUGGGAGGAGAUCGGGGGAGAGACAUAACAACAGACAUAAUAAAGACAGCGAAGAAAUGUUUCAUAGAGUCAAAACUAGGAUGAUCAAUGUAUGUUUUAAGCCAGGUUCACAUAUACUCCGUUUGCAGUACGUAUGCUGUGGUUUUUUUGUGUUUUUGGUUUUUUUCCCCUCUCCUACCCCGCCGACCCCCCGCGUGCCCAUGUUAACAAUUUGGAGCAUUCACACUGCACAGGGAUGCAGCGCGGUGCAGCAGUACACCGAUCUAUUUUUGCUGUGCUGCACACGUUGAAUUAAAGUGAUAGUGCAUGGGUCAUGGUCAAAAUGAACAUGAAUUGACGUGAAAAUGUAGUAAUAUCACCAUAAAUGAUAUUAUCACUGUAAAUGAAAGUAUAGUACUGUUUUUCACAAUCAUCUUAUUACUUUUAAGUCCGGGGUAAAGCAAAGAAAACCAAAACACUUACCAGGAGUUAAUAACUAAUAAAAAUAACUAAUGCGGUCAAAAAG
ensembl:lncRNA